rnacentral:misc_RNA from 1 species
UGCUAUUAUGUGGUUGGAAUUCCACUGGGAUUUCUUCUUGGGUUGAAGUUCGAUCUUGGCUAAGGGAAUAUGGUCUGGAACAAUCAUUUUAUUAUGUGUGACAAGUCGCACUAAUUGGAAUGAAGAGGUAGAGAAGGCUAGGAAGCGUUUGGAUUAUUGGGAGGACAAGGAACCUGAAAAGAGCUGAAAUGAUCAAAUGAAGAAAGUUCAAUGGCGCACAAGCCUGAAAUAAAUUUGCUGAAUAAUUCAAAAAUCAUCCAUAAUGUAAUGAGUUUAACUGUUUAUUAUUGUUGCGUGG